rnacentral:rRNA from 1 species
UACGUAGGGUGCAAGCGUUGUCCGGAAUUAUUGGGCGUAAAGAGCUCGUAGGCGGUCUGUCGCGUCUGGUGUGAAAACUCAAGGCUUAACCUUGGGCCUGCAUCGGGUACGGGCAGACUAGAGUGCGGUAGGGGAGACUGGAAUUCCUGGUGUAGCGGUGAAAUGCGCAGAUAUCAGGAGGAACACCGGUGGCGAAGGCGGGUCUCUGGACCGAUACUGACGCUGAGGCGCGAAAGCGUGGGGAGCAAACAGG